UGCUUGCACCGGGGAUUAGUGGCGAACGGGUGAGUAACACGUGAGUAACCUGCCCUUGACUCUGGGAUAAGCCUGGGAAACCGGGUCUAAUACCGGAUACGACCUGUCACCGCAUGGUGGUGGGUGGAAAGAUUUUUUGGUUUUGGAUGGACUCGCGGCCUAUCAGCUUGUUGGUGGGGUAAUGGCUCACCAAGGCGACGACGGGUAGCCGGCCUGAGAGGGUGACCGGCCACACUGGGACUGAGACACGGCCCACACUCCUACGGGAGGCAGCAGUGGGGAAUAUUGCACAAUGGGCGCAAGCCUGAUGCAGCGACCCCGCGUGAGGGAUGACGGCCUUCGGGUUGUAAACCUCUUUCAGCAGGGAAGAAGCGGAAGUGACGGUACCUGCAGAAGAAGCGCCGGCUAACUACGUGCCAGCAGCCGCGGUAAUACGUAGGGCGCAAGCGUUGUCCGGAAUUAUUGGGCGUAAAGAGCUCGUAGGCGGUUUGUCGCGUCUGCUGUGAAAGCCCGGGGCUCAACCCCGGGUCUGCAGUGGGUACCGGCAGACUGGAGUGCAGUAGGGGAGACUGGAAUUCCUGGUGUAGCGGUGAAAUGCGCAGAUAUCAGGAGGAACACCGAUGGCGAAGGCAGGUCUCUGGGCUGUAACUGACGCUGAGGAGCGAAAGCAUGGGGAGCGAACAGGAUUAGAUACCCUGGUAGUCCAUGCCGUAAACGUUGGGCACUAGGUGUGGGGGACAUUCCACGUUUUCCGCGCCGUAGCUAACGCAUUAAGUGCCCCGCCUGGGGAGUACGGCCGCAAGGCUAAAACUCAAAGGAAUUGACGGGGGCCC
rnacentral:rRNA from 1 species